GAUGGACCAUCUCGGAUGAUUAGGCACUCACCCCCUACCCCACCCCCAGCUCCUGGCUGCCCCGGACAGAAAGCUGCUUCCUAGGGCCAAAAGGGUGGGGUGCUCCUCCAGGUUGCCGCUUCCUCCAGCUCUGCUCCUGCAGAUUCAGGUGGGGACAGACCCCCGCCUUUGCCUGAUAUGUGCCAGGAAGGCUGGCACGGAGCUUCCAACUGAGGGGGCCGGGUUCUGGGUGAUGGUGGUGGCACUGCCCCCUGCCUGCUGCUGGCCACCACCCCCAGUCUCUGCUCAGGGUGGGGCCCAGUGGGGGGAGAGCUCCCCAGUGCAACCCCGGCUUCCGAUUGGCUAUGGAGCGCCGCAGUGCCCGCCACCCGCCUCCCCCUCCCCGGCUGGCGCAGCCACAUCGGUAGUGAUGGCAAAUGCAGCUCGGAGUUCUGGGCACAGCUGCGCCUCGCAGAGGCCUGCCAGCCCCACCAGAAGCCAGACACCCCAGCUCCGUGCCCCCGACCCCUCCCCACCCGCCCGCCCACCCAACCAGGCAGCAAAGUCACCCCAGCCACUGCUCGCUCAGGCUGCCAGGCCCAGUCCACCCAGCCCCCUCGCCCGCUGGGCCUGUGCCCCCUUUAGCCCAGCCCGCUUGGGGGCCCAGGCCCCUGCACGCGGCCACUCCCGCCCUCAGAGGGGCUCCUCUGGAGUUGGGGGGAGGCGGCAAGGAAGGGGGGCGGGGAAGGGGGGAGCUAGCCCUUCUUUUAGUGAACGCGCCCAGAGCUGGAGCCAAAAAUCGAGGAGGAGAGAUAUUCAGACAGAGCCAAGAUGCGUUUGGCAGGAGGAGAGAGAGGGAGAGAGGGAGCGGGAGGAGGGGACGAGAGAGGGAGGAAAGAGAGGGGGCAGGGGAAAUCAGGGAGGGGGCUUCAGUCUCCAAACCAUGCUCUCAGAGCCUCCGAGGGUCAGCAGGGCGGUGUGGGGGUGGGGGACCCGGGGCCGACCUGGCCCUGGGGGCAGUGGGCUCAGGCCCAUGGAGACAGCCGGACACCCCAGCUGGCCAGGCCAAGACGGACACGGGCAGAAGCCAAGAUCAAUGUGCGCCGGGCAGACAGAGCGAGGCCUGUGGGCGGCCCAAACAUACACCCGCACCUCACCACACAACGGGCUUCUGUCCAUGCCGGGCCAGGGGCAAGGGUGGGGCCCACAGCAGGGCCACCACGGCCGCCAGACCUCAGGGGAAGCCUCGGAGAGGCCGGCCCACUCCCAGCCGCUAGAUUGGUCGCCAUAGUGGGCCCUUCGCAAGGUGCCGAGAGGCCAGGGGAGGCCACGGAGAGGGGUCCCAGUGGAGAAACACCAAUCGAUGGUCACUGGGACAAACCCAGGACACACAGUGCCAUGAAGGUGAUACCUGUCGGCCCACACAGGGAAACGGGUAUGCCAACACAGGUGGACACAGACAGGCCGCCCCACACAGUGAGACACAUUGAUACACCACUCGUCAUGACGGCCAGACACAGGAGGCUUCGAUCGAUGAUUCGUUUAGUGACGUACCCAUAGCGGCGCUGUGACACAAAGACCACAUCGGGCAUCCUGACACCCAUGGUGACACCCCCCCACCCUGGUGUCACCUCAAUGCACAGAGACGGAGCUGGGGAUGACCCUCAGAGACAGCAGGCAGCAUCCACUGACACGCCCUCUGAGACACAGGGGCACUCGGAAAGGGAGCCACACAGACAUGCAGAGCCACCUUCCGGGAAACGGUCCUCCACGGCUCGCCAUGCCGACGAACGCACACGCGAAUCCGGAAGAAUCCGGGGAGCUGCUCAGGGGUGUCCCCCUACCUGGUCCCUUCACCUCCACAUCCAGGGGUUUAGGGGUAGGAAAGCACAGACUGCAUUCUCUCCCCUCCCCCCACCGCGAGGAGGGACAAGCCCCCCCUCCUCAGCGCUGUGCUGGAGGGAAGCACCGACAUCCAGGCCUCCUCAGCCUCUCGGUCCAGCUGGAGGAAACUGUGAGACCCUCCCCCGGGCGGCCCCCUGCGCCUGCACUUCAAGAGCACAGGACAGGAACCAAGAGGACCAGAAAGGCCAGGCUCCCAGGGGGCUGGAAAUGGAAGCCAGUGGUUCGACACUGACCACCAGGGAGCCUUUGCUGCCGGCCACAGCUGCACGCCCGUCCCCUGCCCAUACCCGCAAUGCCUACUGGACCCUGUCAAGUGCCCUCAUAGGGUCCCGCACAGGCAUCCCAUCCCCAUGAUGGGCCCAGGUGACGAUAUGCCCUGAUGCAGACACAGAAAUGACUCUGGAGCCACAAGGAUGUCAACACCAGGACCCACCAAGAUUCGUAGGUUUUUUGACCCACUCACAUCUGAAGACUCAUGUGUAUACACCCUUGCAUACUCUGGCCCAAGGCCUCAGAGCCUAGCCUCAAAGCCAGCUUGGUCAAAGUCAGGGAAAGGACCAGGGGCAACUGAAGCCCCCCACGAAUGCCAUGGUUCCCACAGGGCAGCCCAGGUCUUGGCUCUCUCUCUGUCCCCUCCCUCACCCCCACUAUCACCUCUCCCUGUCUUGAACCCCUGCCAUCCAUCCCCCCAGCACGCCCCCCUGCCCUGCCCGCUCACAGCCCCCCUACCUC
rnacentral:lncRNA from 1 species